UUGUUUUCCUUCCGGAUCAGACCUUGGCGUUCACCUGUUCGCUGCAUACUAGUGCUCGUUAAAAUGGUGCGCUUAACGACGCUCUAAUCGCUGAUCGAUCAUCCUUGUGAUAAGAAGCUUCCCACACUCAAUGUUAGCAUAGCUUUAGCUCAGCUUUACUUGUAUAUCCAGGCGGCCUGUACAAGCUACCCGACUCCCUUUCCUGUCAGAGGCACUACAUAUAGAGCUCAGUGAUGUUUGUCCUUGGCCGGCUGUUUUCCGGUUGUCCUGUCCUGCUUGUCCCUGGCUGCCUACCUGUCGUCUUGGUUGUUGGCUUCAUGUCCGCUGUCCUGGUCGGUAAAGCUGGCUCCCAUCACUCGGCCAGUGUGGCUGAUUUGGGCUGGUUGGUGACCAGCUCGGACUAAACCUUCUAGUGCCGCUCAGAGUGACGUCUGCUGAGGCUUGGCGGUUCGUCCCAGGACGGACAAUUAAUUGGAAUGUUGCUUCUUGAUUUGUUAUGGACUGAACUGUAUAAUUGUAUUUGUAAUUUAAAUGUCGUUUCUUUCUAUUUUAUUGACAGAAUCGGCCAGCUCGUGGUGUUGGUGGUGGACUUCCCGGGUGGUGGUACUACUUCUGGGUUUGGUGCACGAUUUCUUUUAUUCUUGCUAUUUUGUUUGAUGCGUUUCUUUUUUCUUUAAGGUUACUAUCCUGAUUUGCGCUGCCAUCUGAGUUGAGCUACAACUCUCUUUUUAAUGUGCGAGUUGUUUUAAAUUAAUAUUGAUUAAAACAAUUGUGCGGUAAAUAAAAUUAUUGAAUUG